UGGAGGACUGAGAAGGUGAGGCAGUUAACAAGUAUUGCUUUUUAUCGGUUACAUCCUCCAAAAUCAAAACUGUGCAGAAGCAAAAUGUGUUCCUCUGACCAGUGUGGGAAUAACUUGCUGUUUGCACACAGAGA